rnacentral:rRNA from 1 species
AUUGAACGCUGGCGGCAGGCCUAACACAUGCAAGUCGAGCGGGGUUUUCGGACCUAGCGGCGGACGGGUGAGUAAUGCGUAGGAAGCUACCCGAUAGAGGGGGAUACCAGUUGGAAACGACUGCUAAUACCGCAUAAUGUCUACGGACCAAAGUGUGGGACCUUCGGGCCACAUGCUAUCGGAUGUGCCUACGUGGGAUUAGCUAGUUGGUGAGGUAAUGGCUCACCAAGGCGACGAUCCCUAGCUGGUUUGAGAGGAUGGUCAGCCACACUGGAACUGAGACACGGUCCAGACUCUUACGGGAGGCAGCAGUGGGGAAUAUUGGACAAUGGGCGCAAGCCUGAUCCAGCCAUGCCGCGUGUGUGAGGAAGGCCUUCGGGUUGUAAAGCACUUUCAGUAAGGAGGAAGCGUUGAGUGUUAAUAGUACUCAGCGUUGACGUUACUUACAGAAGAAGCACCGGCUAACUCUGUGCCAGCAGCCGCGGUAAGAC